AGUAGUUUGACUCCGUGGCUCAGGACGACGCUGGCGGCACGCUUAACACAUGCAAGUCGAACGGAGAAUAUUUGAGUUUACUUGGAUAUUCUUAGUGGCGGACGGGUGAGUAACACGUGAGCAACCUGCCUUUGAGAGAGGGAUAGCUUCUGGAAACGGAUGGUAAUACCUCAUAAUGUAGUUAGACCGCAUGAUUUGACUACCAAAGAUUUAUCACUCAAAGAUGGGCUCGCGUCUGAUUAGCUAGAUGGUGAGGUAACGGCCCACCAUGGCGACGAUCAGUAGCCGGACUGAGAGGUUGAACGGCCACAUUGGGACUGAGACACGGCCCAGACUCC
rnacentral:rRNA from 1 species